rnacentral:tRNA from 8 species
GGAGUGUUAGCUGAGAUAGAUUAGCGCUUGCCUGAAGAGCAGGAUUAGGAUGGUGCAAUUCCAUCACACUCCACCA